ACAAGCAGCGGAGCGUGUGGUUUAAUUCGUUGCUACACGAAGAACUUACCUGGGUUGACAUAUAGGUUGUAGGGAACUGAAAGGGACCGACCCUCGGGAGCUAUACAGGUGUUGCAUGGCUGUCGUCAGCUCGUGUCGUGAGAUGUUCGGUUAAGUCCGCUAACGAGCGCAACCCUCGUCGUAUGUUAUAUGUGUCAUACGAGACUGCCGGUAAAAGCCGGAGGAAGGUGAGGAUGAUGUCAAGUCAGCAUGACCUUUAUAUCCAGGGCUACACACACGCUACAAUGGUCUGUACAAUGGGUAGCCAAGCCGCGAGGCGGAGCCAAUCCUGAAAGCAGGCCUCAGUUCAGAUUGCAGUCUGCAACUCGACUGCAUGAAGCCGGAGUUGCUAGUAACCGCAGGUCAGCAAUACUGCGGUGAAUACGUUCCCGGGUCUU
rnacentral:rRNA from 1 species